UACAGAGGCCUCAAGCGUUGUUCGGAUUCAUUGGGCGUAAAGGGUGCGUAGGUGGCGGGGUAAGUCAGGUGUGAAAUCUCGGAGCUCAACUCCGAAACUGCACUUGAUACUGCCUUGCUCGAGUACUGGAGAGGAGAUUGGAAUUCCCGGUGUAGUGGUGGAAUGCGUAGAUAUCGGGAGGAACACCAGUGGCGAAGGCGGCUUCCUGGACCGGUUCUGACACUGAGGCGCGAAAGCUAGGGGAGCAAACGGG
rnacentral:rRNA from 1 species